rnacentral:rRNA from 1 species
UUAAGCGACUAAGCGUACACGGUGGAUGCCCUGGCAGUCAGAGGCGAUGAAGGGCGUGCUAAUCUGCGAUAAGCGCCGGUAAGGUGAUAUGAACCGUUAUAACCGGCGAUACCCGAAUGGGGAAACCCAGUGUGAUUCGUCACACUAUCAUUAACUGAAUCCAUAGGUUAAUGAGGCGAACCGGGGGAACUGAAACAUCUAAGUACCCCGAGGAAAAGAAAUCAACCGAGAUUCCCCCAGUAGCGGCGAGCGAACGGGGAGGAGCCCAGAGCCUGAAUCAGCAUGUGUGUUAGUGGAAGCGUCUGGAAAGGCGCGCGAUACAGGGUGACAGCCCCGUACACAAAAGCGCAUGUGCUGUGAGCUCGAUGAGUAGGGCGGGACACGUGGUAUCCUGUCUGAAUAUGGGGGGACCAUCCUCCAAGGCUAAAUACUCCUGACUGACCGAUAGUGAACCAGUACCGUGAGGGAAAGGCGAAAAGAACCCCGGCGAGGGGAGUGAAAAAGAACCUGAAACCGUGUACGUACAAGCAGUGGGAGCCCCACCACUAAGCCAGUGGUGAACUCCACAUACGCAUCCUUUGCUGAGGAUACGGUUAACGGAGCGAAAGCGACGUUCAACCGCAAAAGAAGCAGAGGGGGCUUAGUGGUGGGGUGACUGCGUACCUUUUGUAUAAUGGGUCAGCGACUUAUAUUCUGUAGCAAGGUUAACCGUAUAGGGGAGCCGGAGGGAAACCGAGUCUUAACCGGGCGUUAAGUUGCAGGGUAUAGACCCGAAACCCGGUGAUCUAGCCAUGGGCAGGUUGAAGGUUGGGUAACACUAACUGGAGGACCGAACCGACUAAUGUUGAAAAAUUAGCGGAUGACCUGUGGCUGGGGGUGAAAGGCCAAUCAAACCGGGAGAUAGCUGGUUCUCCCCGAAAGCUAUUUAGGUAGCGCCUCGUGAACUCAUCUCCGGGGGUAGAGCACUGUUUCGGCUAGGGGGCCAUCCCGGCUUACCAACCCGAUGCAAACUGCGAAUACCGGAGAAUGUUAUCACGGGAGACACACGGCGGGUGCUAACGUCCGUCGUGAAGAGGGAAACAACCCAGACCGCCAGCUAAGGUCCCAAAGUCAUGGUUAAGUGGGAAACGAUGUGGGAAGGCCCAGACAGCCAGGAUGUUGGCUUAGAAGCAGCCAUCAUUUAAAGAAAGCGUAAUAGCUCACUGGUCGAGUCGGCCUGCGCGGAAGAUGUAACGGGGCUAAACCAUGCACCGAAGCUGCGGCAGCGAACGUAUCACCCAAGACAACUUUACGGAGUUGACGAUUGACGGAGCGAAGCGACGUCAAAGCGUUCAUUAAAGUCGAGUUGGCUUAGGGAUACGUUCGUUGGGUAGGGGAGCGUUCUGUAAGCCUGCGAAGGUGGCCUGUGAGGGUUGCUGGAGGUAUCAGAAGUGCGAAUGCUGACAUAAGUAACGAUAAAGCGGGUGAAAAGCCCGCUCGCCGGAAGACCAAGGGUUCCUGUCCAACGUUAAUCGGGGCAGGGUGAGUCGACCCCUAAGGCGAGGCCGAAAGGCGUAGUCGAUGGGAAACGGGUUAAUAUUCCCGUACUUGGUGUUACUGCGAAGGGGGGACGGAGAAGGCUAUGUUGGCCGGGCGACGGUUGUCCCGGUUUAAGCGUGUAGGUGUGUGUUCCAGGUAAAUCCGGUUCACUUUAACACUGAGGCGUGACGACGAGGCACUACGGUGCUGAAGCAACAAAUGCCCUGCUUCCAGGAAAAGCCUCUAAGCAUCAGGUAACAUCAAAUCGUACCCCAAACCGACACAGGUGGUCAGGUAGAGAAUACCAAGGCGCUUGAGAGAACUCGGGUGAAGGAACUAGGCAAAAAUGGUGCCGUAACUUCGGGAGAAGGCACGCUGACACGUAGGUGAAGUGAUUUACUCAUGGAGCUGAAGUCAGUCGAAGAUACCAGCUGGCUGCAACUGUUUAUUAAAAACACAGCACUGUGCAAACACGAAAGUGGACGUAUACGGUGUGACGCCUGCCCGGUGCCGGAAGGUUAAUUGAUGGGGUCAGCGCAAGCGAAGCUCCUGAUCGAAGCCCCGGUAAACGGCGGCCGUAACUAUAACGGUCCUAAGGUAGCGAAAUUCCUUGUCGGGUAAGUUCCGACCUGCACGAAUGGCGUAAUGAUGGCCAGGCUGUCUCCACCCGAGACUCAGUGAAAUUGAACUCGCUGUGAAGAUGCAGUGUACCCGCGGCAAGACGGAAAGACCCCGUGAACCUUUACUAUAGCUUGACACUGAACAUUGAGCCUUGAUGUGUAGGAUAGGUGGGAGGCUUUGAAGUGUGGACGCCAGUCUGCAUGGAGCCGACCUUGAAAUACCACCCUUUAAUGUUUGAUGUUCUAACGUGGACCCGUAAUCCGGGUUGCGGACAGUGUCUGGUGGGUAGUUUGACUGGGGCGGUCUCCUCCUAAAGAGUAACGGAGGAGCACGAAGGUUGGCUAAUCCUGGUCGGACAUCAGGAGGUUAGUGCAAUGGCAUAAGCCAGCUUGACUGCGAGCGUGACGGCGCGAGCAGGUGCGAAAGCAGGUCAUAGUGAUCCGGUGGUUCUGAAUGGAAGGGCCAUCGCUCAACGGAUAAAAGGUACUCCGGGGAUAACAGGCUGAUACCGCCCAAGAGUUCAUAUCGACGGCGGUGUUUGGCACCUCGAUGUCGGCUCAUCACAUCCUGGGGCUGAAGUAGGUCCCAAGGGUAUGGCUGUUCGCCAUUUAAAGUGGUACGCGAGCUGGGUUUAGAACGUCGUGAGACAGUUCGGUCCCUAUCUGCCGUGGGCGCUGGAGAACUGAGGGGGGCUGCUCCUAGUACGAGAGGACCGGAGUGGACGCAUCACUGGUGUUCGGGUUGUCAUGCCAAUGGCACUGCCCGGUAGCUAAAUGCGGAAGAGAUAAGUGCUGAAAGCAUCUAAGCACGAAACUUGCCCCGAGAUGAGUUCUCCCUGAGACUUAGAGUCUCCUGAAGGAACGUUGAAGACGACGACGUUGAUAGGCCGGGUGUGUAAGCGCAGCGAUGCGUUGAGCUAACCGGUACUAAUGAACCGUGAGGCUUAACCUU